UCUGUAAUGAACUUCUAAUGCAUU
rnacentral:piRNA from 1 species